AUAUUCCUCAAAAUUAUUUUGGUUGAUGAAGCUGUACGUAUUAUAGUUUCAACUUUAUAUUUUGUCCAGCCUUAUAGUGUGUUCAAGCAUCAUUUUCCCUUACUAAUUAUUAUUUAAAUUAUUUUUGUCAUAUAGGGUGAUAAGAUGUAUGCUGCUGUGAGAAGAGAGCAGAUCAAGAAGUUUGAAAGGUGCUUAACUGAGGGUGUUUGGAAGAUCAUUACGACCAUCACUCUAAAUCCUACAAGUGGCCAGUAUCGUAUUUC
rnacentral:sRNA from 1 species